GUUCCAGACUCCUACGGGAGGCAGCAGUGAGGAAUAUUGGUCAAUGGGCGGGAGCCUGAACCAGCCAAGUCGCGUGAGGGAAGACGGCCCUACGGGUUGUAAACCUCUUUUGUCGGGGAGCAAAGCGAACCACGUGUGGUUCAUUGAGAGUACCCGAAGAAAAAGCAUCGGCUAACUCCGUGCCAGCAGCCGCGGUAAUACGGAGGAUGCGAGCGUUAUCCGGAUUUAUUGGGUUUAAAGGGUGCGCAGGCGGAAGAUCAAGUCAGGGGUAAAAUUGAGGGGCUCAACCUCUUCGAGCCGUUGAAACUGGUUUUCUUGAGUGAGCGAGAAGUAUGCGGAAUGCGUGGUGUAGCGGUGAAAUGCAUAGAUAUCACGCAGAACUCCGAUUGCGAAGGCAGCAUACCGGCGCUCAACUGACGCUCAUGCACGAAAGUGUGGGUAUCGAACAGGAUUAGAUACCCGAGUAAA
rnacentral:rRNA from 1 species